rnacentral:rRNA from 1 species
UACGUAGGCAGCGAGCGUUGUUCGGAAUUACUGGGCGUAAAGAGUGUGUAGGCGGCGCUCUAAGUUCGGUGUGAAAUCUCUCGGCUUAACUGGGAGGGUGCGCCGGAAACUGGAGUGCUCGAACGUGGGAGAGGAAAGCGGAAUUCCUGGUGUAGCGGUGAAAUGCGCAGAUAUCAGGAGGAACACCGGUGGCGAAGGCGGGUCUCUGGGCCGAAAUUGACGCUGAGGAGCGAAAGCGUGGGGAGCAAACAGG